GCUUAACACUUAGACUAGGGAGGCAUGAGGAUUGGGUCUUGAGACAAAUAAUCCUAUAGUGGCAAAAGAGAUGAACUUGGACAUAGCCUAGUAGAGUGGCAUUGAACUAGUGUAGUAAAAACACUAAACAAGAACGAGUGGCAUGUCAACUAACUAGAAAACUUACUACAAUGAUCGAACGAGUGGCAUCGAGUCUAGUGUAGUAAACAUGACAUGGUUCUAGGGAUAGUAGAGAUUCCAGCAUCUAGGAUGCAUUGUAUAUUGUGCAGCAGAGGCACGUUGACCCUUGUAGAUAGGGUAUCCUCUUGUGAGGAUUGGAUCAUACUCACUAGUCUGUUUUCGCUGUCGGUGGUCUCUCCACCGUGGCACGAGUCUCCGGAGUACUUCACUAGGGGCAGACGUAGUUGUC
rnacentral:lncRNA from 1 species